UACCUUUUGUAGUUCAUAAUUGUGAUGAUUAGGUGUUUGUGCUGUUGUGUGAGAUGUGCCCCCCUCAAACCUUGUUACGACAUUAGCACAUACCCGUCUGAUG
rnacentral:snoRNA from 1 species